rnacentral:rRNA from 1 species
UGGGCAACCUGCCCCUCUCUCUGGGAUAACCCCGGGAAACCGGAGCUAAUACCGGAUACUCUCGGCCGAUCACAUGGCUGGCCGAGGAAAGGUCCGCCGGUCAGGGAUGGGCCCGCGGCCUAUCAGCUUGUUGGCGAGGUAACGGCUCACCAAGGCGACGACGGGUAGCUGGUCUGAGAGGACGACCAGCCACACUGGAACUGAGACACGGCCCAGACUCCUACGGGAGGCG